rnacentral:rRNA from 1 species
GCAAGCGUUAUCCGGAUUCACUGGGUUUAAAGGGUGCGAAGGAGGGCAGGUAAGUCAGUGGUGAAAUCUCCAAGCUUAACUUGGAAACUGCCGUUGAUACUAUCUGUCUUGAAUACCGUGGAGGUGAGCGGAAUAUGUCAUGUAGCGGUGAAAUGCGUAGAUAUCUGGAGGAAUACCGGUGGCGAAGGCGGCAUCCUGGACCGACAUUGACGCUGAGGAGCGAAAGCUAGGGGAGCAAACGGG